GGCCGUUACAUCAAGAGCACGCUCUGAAGCCGUGUCUACACGUUACAACAGCUGAACAGCACACCCACGCAGACUUUUCUUUUGCGUGAUGCUUUUGCUGCGGAGACGAUUUGAAACCCAUUGGAGUUUAUUUCCAACCCACACAGUAGAACUGCCCACCUCAUUCUCCUCCCCCCUUCCCUAUGUCACGCCCUCUUCCCCAAACCAAUCGCGCCCCUCCAGAAAAUCCCCCUCCGAUUAGCCACCGCCGGCCGAUGUCCUAGUGCCGAAGGGGUACUGUCCGACGAGUCGGUGUUGGGAGGAGGGAGAAGCCGGGUCGGAGGCACGAGCGAGGCCGAUCGCGGUUGUUUUCUCGAUCUGGAUAUUCUUCAUGUCUUUUUUCCGAUCUGGAUUUUGCAUCACCUUUUGACGGAAUCAGUUUGCUGUUGAGUUUUGUUUAUUACAUGGUGUCUUCCGAUCUACUAGAUCCCAUGAUUUUCAUCCAGAUCCCAUUUUAUCAAGCGUUCAUCUUGAUGCACAACAGCUAUGCGCUUGCGUACUGGAAUUUCAUGGACGACUACCUCUGUAUCUUCUACUCUUUCUGAUUUUUUUGACUUGGAUGUGCAGACUAAUCGUGUUCGUGAUGUAGAUCUAGAUUGUAUAUUUUUCGUUGCACGGUUGUACUUGAUACUCAAGAUCCAUGCUCUCCUCCUUGUGAAGUUUCUUCCCAUCUUUUUUUCUCUAUGAUAUUCUGUUGCACGGAUGUUCUUGAGCAGGAAAAAAACACAGCCCAUGCCUGCUCGGGGCAGCAGGCCACGUCGGCCGCAUGGAGCGCAGAUGAAAUACCUAGUACCUACACGCGGCAGAACACAAAUUUUUGCCGAGGGGAGCUACCAGGCAUGGGGGAGAUCGAAAAGGCGCUCGGGUCCAACACCACCGGUCGCGGCGUUGAGCGGCAGCAGGCGGGCGUUGGUGUGGCUCAGGUCUAGCACCAAAGGAGAUGCGGGAAGCAGGACCAGUUUAGACUUUAAAAAAUCUAGUUUGUUCAUGACCUUGUACUAGCCAGUUAAAUUCAUUUGUCAAUGAUACUGAAGUGCUACACAAUACUAAUUCUUCUCCUAUUUUUUCGGAACCAUAAAUUCGUAGUUUCGUGGUUUAUCAAUUUUUAUUUUUUGGACAA